rnacentral:lncRNA from 1 species
GCUUUACUGUCAUAUUGGAGAUACUGGAGAUAUGGUGAAACACAGGACAAGUGUGCGAUCUACGAAACAUAGAGUAUGUGUUCGUCGGAGGACCAUUGGUGGUGCUACCAAAGUUUCUGUUUUGAGAAACGUUUCACAUCCACCUGUAACCGUGGAUGUUACACCUGUCACCACCACAUCAUCUCUGGAUGAACAUUCAGAGGCAGAACCAAGCAGCAGUUGCAUGUCCGAGACUGCUUACACAAAAGCAAAGAAGAAGGAGCUCAGGGCCUGGGACUCAUUGAAGAGGAUAUGCUGCGGGUAUCUUAUGAGUCAUCAGCACCAUCUACAAAUAUCUGUGCUCUCUGCAAAGAGGAUGCAGAGUAUAGGUGCCUUGAGUGCAGCAGUACUAAUAUGUUUUGUGAGACCUGUAUCACAAAAACCCACCGCAAUUCCUUGCACCUACCAGAGAAAUGGAAUGCCAGUUGUGCAGCUUCAGCGUGACUCUUUGUACAUGUGAACCAGAAACUUGCACCCUGCUCAGAUAUGGAAUCUGGCCUGCGACACCAGAGAGGCCUCAAACAGCGUUCUCUAUAGCUCUUUUGGAGCUUUUUCAUUAUCUGUCCAUGGAAUGCCAGGUGUCUGAGGGAUUCUGCAAUAUGUUGCGGUGGAAAAACAAUCUGUCUCUUUCAGAGGUUAACAUGCUCUACAGAGCUCUGGUGGGAGAAUCUAUAUCCCAGUUUCGCCACCACCACUUUAGAUGCAGAAGUUUAUCUGGUCUUUGUCCCUCAUUUGAUGAUGGAACAACAUGCCCAGUAUGUCCUAAGAGUAACGGCAAUCUGAUUGUAACAAUGGAUGCCAACUUUGGCCUUGUUCGAAAAAGAAGUUCAGGAAGUAGUUUGGUGGAGCCGUUGCAUGGUAACAGAAUGUUUGUGAGGGAAGAAGAUGUGCAAGAAUACCUGUCAUCCCAUCCUGAUGGUUCCAAGCCAAAUGAAGACUGUAGUAAUUUCAAGGCAGGGAACCUGCUUCGUUCUCAAAAAAAACAACAAAAACUAGAUGUAACAGGGGUGUUUGGAGUCUCUUGCCGCCAUGAGAUUCCGUUGGUGUUUUUGAACAUGACCCAGGGAGAACGGCUAGCAUAUCCAAUGUAUAUAAUCAAAGAACUCCUAACAAUCAGGGAAAGAACCUAA